UGGGGAAUAUUGCACAAUGGAGGCAACUCUGACGCAGCAACGCCGCGUGGGUGAAGAAGGCUUUCGGGUUGUAAAGCCCUGUCAGGUGGGAAGAAACCUCUUUGAGUAAACAGCUCAGAGAACUGACGGUACCACCAAAGGAAGCACCGGCUAACUCCGUGCCAGCAGCCGCGGUAAGACGGAGGGUGCAAGCGUUGUUCGGAAUCACUGGGCGUACAGCGCGUGUAGGCGGUCCGAUUAGUCGAGUGUGAAAGCCCGAGGCUCAACCUCGGAAGCGCAUUCGAAACUGGCGGGCUUGAGUACGGGAGAGGGAAGUGGAAUUCCUGGUGUAGAGGUGAAAUUCGUAGAUAUCAGGAGGAGCACCGGUGGCGAAGGCGGCUUCAUGGACCGGUACUGACGCUGCGACGCGAAAGCGUGGGGAGCAAACA
rnacentral:rRNA from 1 species